rnacentral:rRNA from 1 species
AGAACGAACGCUGGCGGCACGCCUAACACAUGCAAGUCGAGCGCCCAGCAAUGGGAGCGGCGGACGGGUGAGGAACACGUGGGAAUAUGCCUUUCGGUUCGGCACAACUGCGGGAAACUGCAGCUAAUUCCGGAUACGCCCUUACGGGGAAAGAUUUAUCGCCGAAAGAUUAGCCCGCGUCUGAUUAGCUAGUUGGUGAGGUAAUGGCUCACCAAGGCUUCGAUCAGUAGCUGGUUUGAGAGAACGACCAGCCACACUGGGACUGAGACACGGCCCAGACUCCUACGGGAGGCAGCAGUGGGGAAUCUUGGACAAUGGGGGAAACUCUGAUCCAGCGAUGCCGCGUGAGUGAUGAAGGCCUUCGGGUUGUAAAACUCUUUACCAGGGAGAUAAUGACUGUACCUGGAGAAUAAGCUCCGGCUAACUUCGUGCCAGCAGCCGC